CGGGCACGCGCGCGCACGCGAGGAGCGCGCGGCUGCUGGGCCGCCGUCCGGGGAGGCGUGGGCGAGCUGCGCCUGCCUGCCCAGAGCCGAGCCCGGCGGAGUCCGGCCGCGCGGUGCUGCUCUCUCCCGGGCCGGGCUCGUCCGUUCCCCCGGCGUCCGUGGACGCCGCUCCGUGUCCCCGCUGGGCACAGCAGCCCGGGCCCUCCACAGCCACGGCCGCUAGCCUGAGGAGGCCCUCCUUCAGCUCGCGCUCUUCCCGCUCGCCGGACCCGGACGACCAGGGCGCCCGCGAAGAUGAUUCCAUCUGGGAGAGGUACCUGGGGGCGUGGGCCUGGGGGCUGGUGGGAGGCGAGCGUGUCCCUGAGGAGUAGGCUUGUGCGCCGAGAGGUGCCCGUCAGGUGGCGGGACAGCUGUGCGGCGCGGGGAGCGAGGGGGUCUCUUCGUGCGCUUCAGGCGUUCGUGGAACGGGCGGUGUGUGCCGGGCACGGGGCCAGCCUGGGGGUGCGGUGCCCGGGAGUCGGGCGCUGAAGCGCCACCCGUGGUCUUGGCUUCUUGGAAGGACAGACGCGAAGUCGCUAACGACACUGGUCUCCAUGCGUUCUGAGGAGUGCAGGUCUCCCUCUUUGAGAGGCUACGUUCCGUUGGGGUUUUCAUGAAGCCUGUUGUGCACCUGAAGCUCAGGCCGGUUCAGGGGAAGUGGCCUGUCGAGGGCCACAUCAUAUUUGUGUGCAGAGCCAGUGCUUUCCAAAGCCCGUGACGGUGUGGAAGUCUACCUGUUAGGGGUGCAGUGGGGGCUGUCAGGGGAGCGUUGUGAGCACAGGUAUGUGUCCCACACUUGAAAGCACGGCAAAGAAAGCGUGAGGCGCGAGGGUGCUCCGUUCGUUCCCUCCUUCCACAGAAAGUCUGGAGAGUUGGCUUUGGGACAAGUCCUUCCUUUCCUCUGGUCGGCGCGUGUUCAGUGGUCUGCACACUUGAGCAGCAAGACUGACAGGGUGUUUGACGUACUGGACCUCACAGCCUGGUUGGAAAGGACAGAUAGGCGGCAACUGAUUACCUAGGAGAUACGUGAAAGCAAUUUUGUGUUGAGUGUCGAGAAAGACAGCAUUUCCUGUUAGACUUUGUUACUUAGGCAGUGACGUUGAAGCUGAGAGCAGAUGCCUAAAAGAAAAGGAGGACUUGUGCGGGAGAGUUUUGGGACAGGGCAAGGGAGGAGUAUGGCCUGUCAGAGGAGCUGAAAGAAUGCCCUGGAGACUGGGGCCGCGUAGGGAGCGUAGGGUGGGGACAACAGAACUUUUCGAUUGAGGCUGGCGCUUUCUCUAGGUUUUUGGAGACCAAGCGUGGUGAUUCGGAACGUGGACUCUGCAGCCAGACUCUGUCAAAUGGGUCCUAGCUCUGCCACCUACGGGCUGUGUGAACUUGGGCAAGUUACUGGACCAUUCUGUGUGUCAGUUUCCUGAUCUGUAAAACGGGGAUGAUUAUAAUACACACUCCAUAGGUGAGUGUAAAGGUGAGAGGAUAUUUCAUAUCCGUAAAGUACUUAGAGCAGCGUCUGGCCUUUAGUAGGCGUUAGUAGUGGUUGAUUCAAGAAAUGGAUAAACGCAGACAUAAGUAGUAAAGGCUUGGAGGCUGUCCCUGGUGAAACGUGUGAACUGGAAUGGAUUACAGCCAACAUUGUUUCCUUUCCAGCUUGCAGUUGCUACUGACCGCAUCUGCAGCACUGUGGAAUCAGAAAAAAUCUCCCUCAACUUGGCUGCUCUUGGUAAAACAAUCUAAUGCUGUCCAAAUUAUCCCAGGGAAAUAAAAGCCUUUUCAGUAGCCUAGUAGGGUUAGGCUUAUUUCAUAUGUAUCGUUUAUAUUGGUUUGUUUAGUAUUUGCCGGGCGCGUUUUUUAUUUUUUUGCUUUUUUUAUUUAUUUAUUUUUUUUUUGGCAAAGGUGCUCGGUUAAAAAAAGCAGAUUAGCUAUGAAAUGGUUCAGACCCAGAGAAAAGUAGAGAGUCGUGUAAGCAGAGCACGCCUUUCCUUGACUCUCUGUCGAGAGCUUUUGUGAUUCCAGCUGCUCUCUGCCUCAGACACCGUGCCCUCUGCGUGUGCAGUCAUGUAAGCAGUGCAGGCUCUGGAACCGUGGAGGAUCUAAGGCAGUACAGUCGUGCUUUGCUUCACAGUGGGGAUAAGUUCUGAGGAGUGUGUCAUGGUCAGGCAAUCUCGAGACUCUCCAAGGGCACGGAAGCGUAACCUGUGGGGCUUUUGAAAAGAACAGAGACGCUCAAGGCCUGCUCUGGACCCACUGACUCAGAAUCUACUGGGAUAGUUCCCGGCUUUAAAGACCAGACAUAGUCCUCCUCUGCAGACAUCUCCUCAACGGUGUUUCACACUGGGUUUUCCCUCUUCUGAGAAAACAGGCCAAGAGAUUGUGAGGAUCCAUAAUUAGUGUUUUAAUACAGUUUGCAGGACUCAGUGUUUUUCACAUUCUGUGAUGGUGUGAUCCGCAUCUUCACUGUAAUGUGUUAAACCUUUAAAUCUUGUCCAAAAGUCAU
rnacentral:lncRNA from 1 species